UGGGACUUGGCCUCCCCAGAGCUUUGGGUCACAUAGUCACCCCUUUCUGCCCUUUUAAGAAGCCCUGAGCGGAACGCCAACAUGCACUCUGCGGCCAGAAUGCUGAGAGUCCUCCUCCUUCUCCUUGAUGUUGGGGCCGCUCAAGUGUUAGCAACAGGCAAGACUGCUGGAGCUGAAACUGAUAUCAAAUAUGCCAUCAUCGGGACUGCUGUGGGCAUCGCCAUAUCAGCCGGCUUCCUGGCCCUGAAGUUCUGCAUGAUCAGGAAGCACAUGUUUGAUAACGAUUCCUCUGACCUGAGAAGCACAAACGUGGGCUUCAACGAGACCAUUGCACUAAAGAAGAGAGCUUCAAGAUGCUGCUGUGCAAAGAUGUUGCUGUGACUGUACAUCAAAAACCAAUUCAAGAGCAUUGAAUGAACAGUUACUAUGGUUUCAUGUUCCUACCUAUGAUCAGGUUAAACCUCAAUUUCUCUGAAAGAAAUGCACAAGUGAUUGAGCUCUGAGUGAGCAGCCUCUUCAGGAGGGCAGUUUGGACAGCUACUCAUUGGAGACAGCUUGAAUUUGAGCAUCCAAAGCUGGUGAUGGACCUUUACAUGGAACUCAAAAUACGGAGCAAAUAAACUUAUAGAAUCUACAGUGCCUCUGUCCUGAAAGAAAAUAGUGUUUCUCUUCUGCAAAGAGCUGACUGCAUAAAGGGAUGUAAGAGUACUCUUUCCAGCAGUAAGAAAGUUUGGAAGUCAAUACAUGCUCACUGCCUAUCCUGGUUUCCAGUGUCAGAGUUGUUCAUGCUUCAUGAUGACAUUGUGUCCGUGGAUCCUAUCAGUAGCAAGUGGCUCAUGGAAUGAGAACCAAACUCAAGACACAGCUUCUUUAGCACCAGUCUACCAAGAGGUGAACAGCCUUGGCUAGAACUAUUGGCCUAAACUUCUUAGCUGUCAGAAGAAUCCAUCUGUCAACAUUCAAGGGAACUGAAACUUGAAAAUCUUUGGGCAGUCUCCAUUUCUAUAAAUGACUGAGAGACCUUCCAAAAGAAGAAAUGCAGCCUGGGCUGGAGUGGGAGAAAGGGAUCUGACAGCUGUGGAAUGGCCCCACAGCUCUGCAGCCUUCAAAUGGCGGUACCCAGAAAGGAUGAAAAGAGAAAGCAGCUGCCAUGGCUUGUAGUGAGCUAUACCAAAGAAAGUGAUUAUUGUUAUUAUUGUUGUUAUUGUUAUUAUUGUUAUUGUCAUAGUCAUGACAAUGUCCUUACCUCAUGGAGGACAUAACCAGAAGAGACAUAAAUGCAAGGCUGCAUGAUGCAGACCCCAUUCACACUUCUCUCCCCUUAAUAGUAACCCUGGGUUUCUGGGCUGCAUUAAGGAAUACUCUUUGCCUUUUCAUUCAAUAGAAAUCCAGUGGGCUACAAGGACUGGUUCUCCUUAGAUUAGGUUACUCACCUUGUGUGUGGUAAAAGAUGAGUUAUAUUUCAAAACAAAGCGCUCUGUUGUAAUAAUUUGCCUGAACUCCCAGGGCAUCUUUUAUCUGACUUGAUAACAAUGUAGUUCAUUAGCAGCCUUGGUUAACUGAUAACCUAAAGCGGCAAUGCGAUACUCAUAAGCAAUUUUCUGUGUGUUAGAUAGAAUAAACCAUCUUGUAAGGUA